UUACCCUAAUCCAAAAGCAUCCCCUCUCUCUCCAUGGAUUGAAUUUCGUCACAGAUUAACAGUGCAAAAGGUAGAGAUGUCAAUGGAAGGUAUUGAUGAUUCUUGUGAACAAAGCUCUUCAACUACGCUAAAACGAGAAAAAAGACAAACGUCUACUGUUUGGGAUUCUUUUGUUAAGGUAGUAGAGCCUAGUAUUUAUAGUGAUGGAAAGAUUAAAGUCAAAUGUACGCUUGUGAAAAAUAAUAUAUAUACGAUUCUAAAUUUGGAACAUCGAAUUUGAAGCGUCAUUUGGUGAUAAAACAUCCAUGGGAUACUGCAAAAGAGGGACAAAGUGUACUAAUAGAUCAAAAUAUUUAUCGAGAGAAAAUGUCAUUGGCCAUAGUCAGGCCUAACUAUGCUUUCAGUUUUGUUGAAUAUAAAGGCAUCAAGGACCUUCAUUUAUACUUAAAUCCCGUUGUCAAGCACAUAUCAAGAAACACAGCCAAGUCAGAUAUCUUGAAUAUGUAUGCAGGCGAAAAAGAACUUUUGAAAAGUGAGCUUGCAGUUAUUCCUAGUAGAGUAUGUUUAACAUCAGACUUGUGGACUUCAGUAGCAUCUAAUGGGUAUAUGUGCGUUACGGCCCAUUAUGUGGAUUUAAAUUGGGUUCUUUAGAAGAGGGUGUUGAUUUUUCGUCAUGUUCCUCCUCCACAUUCAGGCGCGGUUUUAGGUCCCUUAUUGAUUAGCUUUCUUAAAGAAUGGGGAAUCGAAAAGAAAAUCUUUACCCUUACUUUGGAUAAUGCUACUUGCAAUAAUGGUGUAAUGGAUAAUUUAAAGAAUCAUUUGUCUUUGAUGCGUUCAUUAGUUUGCGAGAGAAAGUAUCUUCAUGUCCGUUGUGGGAAUCACAUUUUGAACUUAAUUGUUAAGACGGGCUUAGAGAAGGUUGAUGCAGCUAUUACAAAAAUUAGAGAAUGUGUUAAGUAUAUCAAGAAUUCAAAAACAAGAAUAAUAAAAUUUGUGGAGUGUCUAAGUAAUCUUGGUCUACCAUGUUCUAAGAAGCUACGCCAAGAUAUGCCUAUUCGGUGGAAUUCCACUUAUCAAAAGCUUGAAAGUGCUCUUCAAUAUCGGGAAGCUUAUAUUCACUAUAACUUGCUUGACAUUGAUUUUAGACACGGACUUUCUGUAGAUGAAUGGAAAAGGGUCGAGAUUAUAGCUAAGUUUCUUAAACCAUUUUAUGACAUUACGACUUUGUUUUCUGGAUAUAAGUAUCCCACGACUAAUUUGUAUCUUCCUAAUGUAGGGAGAAUUGAAAUAUUGUUGGAAGAACAAAAAAAUAGUUGAGAUUCAGUGAUGAGUGAGAUGGUCACUUUGAUGUUGGUGAAGUUUAAGAAAUAUUGGGAGUCGUAUAGUGUCAUUUUAUCUAUAGCUAUUAUCCUUGAACCUCGAUAUAAAUUGAAGUUUGUUAAGUUUUGCUUUUCAAAGCUUCAUCCCGAGGAGAUUGCUAAUGAAAAAGUGAAGGUUAUUGAACAUAACCUAUAAUUGUUGUUCAAAGAGUACUUAAUACCUUCGACUACAACCUCAUUAUCAGGGGAUCAUGCUUGUAGUAGUGGUAGCAAUGAAAUGAGGGAUGCAUUUGAUGAGUUUGAUGAAUUUGAGAGUCAAUUGGAGUCAAGUAUAGGUAAAACACAACUAGACUUAUAUUUGGAGGAAGCCACUCUUGACCGUAAAACAAAUCCGAAUCUAGAUGUACUUGGCUUUUGGAAGGAUAACAGGCAUAGAUAUCCAGAACUCUCAUUAAUGGCACGAGAUGUCUUGAGUGUUCCUCUCACCACAGUAGCUUCUGAAUCUACGUUUAGCAUUGGUGGUCGUGUCCAUUCUUCCCGCCAAUGCGGAGGCAAAGCUAUGUACUAGGGAUUGAGUUUGUGAAAGAGAAGAUCUUGAUGAUGGAUCCGAGUCUGACGAAGAAGAUGAGAUUGUUGUUGAUCUUCAACCUUAUCUUGCGAAACUUAGAGGUAAACCUUAUCAGGCUUGGGACUUUAAGCUGUUUCUCCUUCUGGGAACCUGAGCUUUGAAGUGAUUCUUUCUGUAUGUCGGUGUUGGUGUGCAUAUCUCGGAACGUGCAGCUCGAGAAGCUACUACCGGUUUUGUUCACAAACGUCUAAAGCAUGAUGUUCUUGGUCAAAGUUCCGCUUUCUGCCACAAGUUGCAUCGGCUACCACAACAUUUUUAUUGUCUUUCAAAUGACUGCUGUCAACUGGAUAUGCUAUUACAAUGUCCUAAGGGUCUACUUUUGUGCAUUUUGCUUUGUAAACACUUUAUAAGUAUUUUGCCGGUAGUUUAAAUAAAUUCUGCUAGUACAUUUUUGACGUAUUUUGCUGGUGUAUUUCAAUGUAUGUUGCUCAUUUGCUGCUACAAUUAGUGUCAAAAGAAGUUAUUAUAUAUGUUCUGCUGUAGUGCUUUUA